GGUUGUGGUAUAACAUAUCAUGCAUUAUACAGCAGUCCAUAAUAUCCAACAAAUUAUUGCUACAGGUAACAUUUGCGGCUUUAAGGUAAUGCGUAAUAAGAUAAGCAUAAGACAUGACUAGUGUAUAUGCGGUAUGUAAUUAUAUGGUAUGAGGGUGUUUUCCCACUGGUCAGAUUCGGGAUGGAACCCUAUAUGUAUCCAUUGGUUACACUUCAUGUUCUUAUCGCGACCUCCUGUGUGAUUGUAUACACCGCAUUUAGUCAUCUAGUGUGGAUCCCGUGUUCCUAUGCCAUGGAUCGGUUAAAUGGGGGGGGGGGAGGUAAUUGUAGUAGAAAGUAGAAAUGAAAGGGGGAGAAAGGUUUCGUAGGUCUAGAAGAGUCCUUCCUUGGGUUCCACUUUUCCUCCUCGUAUCGGAGUGGGUGAGUAGUCGGUAUGUGGUGUUUGGGAAUUAUCUAGUUGUUUUGUGGUGGAUCGUGGUGAGUGUGUAAGGUAAUGUAGUUUAGACCGCUGUCAGGUUACUGUCUCCCGUUAUAGGCAUGUCAGGGGUCUGAUCUAGUAUGUUGUGUCAGUCCCCUGGUCGCCCGUUGGUGUGCUGUGUCCCGUAAUUUACGUUGGGAUUCCAGGUACGUGUUAACCGUCCGUGUGGUUAUUGAGUGGGGUUAUGUAACGCCGUGCUGACGUUCGUUCAGCGCGUGUGUGUCCUGUAAAAGGUCUACGUUAACAAGGGAGUGUGUGAUUCCAUGUGCUUUGUCUCCCACCGGGGCAAGGUGUCCCAUAGGGGGGUCAUGGCCAGUAAUAGGAAGGAUCUGGGAUCCACCCACCAGCCCUCCACUCCUUAUGUGCGUGAUGGAGGCCCACUAUCUACCCGCUUGAUACGAGAACCAGGGUCGCCACGACUUAUUCAUUUUUUUACCUGGCAUCUUCUCUACAUCCUGGACUCCAAGUAAUCCUAGGUGGGGAUUAUACCACCAGCGCUAAUGUUUAGGAGCAGUUGGUCUGCUCCUGUCUUGUGAGUACCCAAUUUUAUUUUAUUUUAUCACCAAUAUUUUACUCAGUGUACACUAUUGGCUGUUUCUUGUUCCCUUUAUCCGAGUGUUGAAUAUACCACUGACGGAGGAAACUCACCGUAUAUCCCAUAAGCGGGGAUUAAACCGCUGUACGCCCUUCAUACUAGAGCGAGUCAAACACUCUGAUAAAUGUGAGUUUUAUUUCAGCCUUUUAUUAUUUUUAUCCUUUUAUUCUGAAACAUAUUGCACUAUUUGGUUCUCCACCUUUUUAUCUUCUAUAUACGAGUGGACCCAUACGGAGGAUAACACAAAGUACUACUGUUCUGGACCAAGCACGGAUAGAUUCUACGAUCCCAAUAAGAACAUUUUAGAUAAGACUUUUCAAAUUCUUCUCACUCUCCUGGACUAUUUUUUAUUUUCCAUAUCAAGUUCUCCUUAGCGCAGCCCUUAUUUCUUAUUCUUUCUCCUUUUUAGUGUUAUUUCUAAGGGCUUUUGAGGGAUUCCCUUAUAGGGUUGCUGCCUACAUAUUAGUCAGUGCUUACUCACUGUUUUGUUUUUAUACAUGGUGACAGAUAGACACAUACUAACAUACAGACACAUGCAUGAGGACAUAAAGACACAUAUAUACAUACGCAUUGACAUACAUACAUACAGACAUACUGACAGACAUACAGACACUGACAUCCAUACACACAUACAUUCAUAAUGACAUACAGACAUAUACAUACAUACAUUCAUAAUGGCAUACAGACAUACAUACAUACAUACAGAC
rnacentral:lncRNA from 1 species